UCGGAUAUGGUGUAACGGCUAACAUUUGCGCCUCUCAUUGCGAACAGCCAGUAUGGGCCGCGCAAGCUCGGGGUUCGACUCCCCGUAUCCGAA